rnacentral:lncRNA from 1 species
AGUCUCUCGAAAACGAGAAGUUCUACACUGUCACGCCUGCUCCACGUCAUCAAUAAUAAAUUAAUUAUAUUUCUUUUUUUUAAAUAAAAGUAUAAUAAAAAUAUUUUUUUACAAUCAUGAUAGAACAUAUAUCUUUAAAAUGAGUUAUUUGAUUGAUUUGUGACGCCACGUCACUAAUAUAUCCGAUGUAUUCUAAAAUUUUUUCUCGAAAACCUAUUUUUCUGUGGCAAGAAAACAAAGGAGUAAAAAAGGAAAACAAGGACAAGUCAUCUGCCAGUCAAAGAAGGGGCGCGACCAUUAACGUGGAUGUUAUACCUCCGAGAUCACGAGUCCCCAGCUAACGAAAAAAACCGACCCAAACGAACACCUAACCCUACCCUAGACCCGAGCACCUACGCUGCGCCUCGGGAUGCGGUCACCCUUGGGGUCGUUCUAAGCCCUUUGACCGGACACGCGCAUCCAAACCGCUGUCGCUGCAUUUGUUUCAAAUUUUCAAUAUACAAUUUUAAAAUUAUUUUUUUUUUCCAUUUCAUUUAUUUUAUUUGAAAAUAAAUUUAGCUGGAAAUGUAAAUUAACUAUGAUUCGAACUUGGAUCUCGGGUACCAACCAUUAAGUUUUUUUGCCACUUGCGCUAGGAACGGUCGAUAAUUUUAAGGAGAUAUUUGCGCGUUGCAACGGAUCAAUUAUACAGCAAAUAAAUAUAAAAGACUGAAGAAAGAAUAAAUAAUACAAGAAUGUAAGAAGCCAAAGAAUAAAAAAAUAAAAAUAGAAAAAGCUGAAAAAGAUGAAGUAGCAGUUACCGUAAAAUAUGAAAAAAAAAUGUAAGAAGAAGAAAAAUAAGAAUAAAAGUUAUGUUGGCUUAAAUGAGUCAGCAUCCUGCCCUGUGGCGGGAGGCCAUGUGGGCCGAGUCAUGUUCGAAAUUGCGUGAGGCUAGGUUGGGCCGAGUCAUGUUUGAAGUUGCGUGAGGCCAGGUGGGCCGAGUCACAAUCGAGACCCGUGGGCGCUGUUUCUGUACGCUUUAAGUGAAUUGGUUGCGUAUUUUUAACAGCUCGAGCUUUUGGGAUUAAUGGUUAGCGCCAACGAUCCGACAAGUUAGGGGUGAAAAUGGUUAGGAUAAAUUUCGAUACCGGAUUCGAUAGAAUGUGAAUAUAAUUAUCAAAAUUUAGCAUUCGUUAUAUAUUCGAAUCUGAAUUCGUAUUUGAAAAAAAUUUAAAAAUAUAUAGAGGUGAAUAUGAUUUUUUCCUAAAUCUGAUUAUAUUUGACUGUUGUCAUUUCUAAGAGAUAAGAAGGAUAUUAAUAUAUAUUAUAGGAAGGAUAAAGUUAUUUUCUAUUGUGCUUUUCAUUUAUUUAAAUAUGAAUUUCAUAUUAAAAUUAUAUUUAUAAUUAUUAAAAUAUUAAAUUUUAUUGAAUAAAAUAUAGGUAUAUGAGGUUUAAACACAAAUAAGAACUUUUAAUUGCAUUGUGUCUUUUAUUUGCAUUAUUUUUAGUUUAUAUUUAUAUAUACAUUAUUAGUAUAUUUUACUAUCUGAAUAUAAAGUCUGCUUAGAUUUAAAUCUAAAUCCAUUUUAAGAGGAUGUAGUCUCAAAAGUUUAGCAUUGGACAUAUAUUCACAACGUAAAAAAAAUGGAUGCGGAUAAGGUUUUAUCAAAAAUCCAACUUUAUUGGACCAUUUCGCUCUAAUAAAAAGCAAAUACUAUAAAAUUAAUAAAUUAUAUUGGUAGAGCAAUAAAAGUAUAAUAAAAAAAAAACCAGUAGGAGCAACAGAACUAACAUAGUUAGUAAAUGAAAAAAGAAAUAUUCUAUGAAUCAAUUAUAAAAGUAAAUUUAUACACCACAUUUCUCAAAUCUUAUUAUAAAAUUUUAAAUUAUGUAAAUUUUAUAUAUAGUUUUUUUAUAUGAUUUGAAUUGUAUAUAUUAAAUAUAAAUUUUGAUCUUAUAAUAUUAAUAUUUUAAAAUAAAUCAUAUAGAAAAAAUAAAAAAAAGAAAAAUUGAUGGAGAAAAAAAGGGGGAGAAGUGUGUUGCAAAAAAAAAAAUGUCAGCAUGAGAUGGAAAAAAAAAAAAAAACAUAAAAAAAUAUUAAAAAUCUCAGCCCAGCCCCUAACUCCUUGUGAAGCAUUGAAGAUUGAACCAUUGAAGAUUAUUAUUAUUAUUAUUAUCAUCUUCAAUUUCAAGUUUAUGUUAAAAAUGAAUGAAAUUCCGUAUGUAGACAAGCCAAUUGAAUCGAAGACAGUUAAAAUUUUUUAAGUAAAUUGUAAAAUUAUAUCAAAUAAGAUACUUAGGCUUGGUUUGGUAUUGAGGUCUAUCUGAUGCUGUUAGAUAAAAUAGAGUUAGAAAAAAAAAAUAGGGAUAAGUGUUUUCCGGUGGAAUUGCAGAAAAUAUAUAAUAACGGAGUUAUCGUAAUAUGCGGAACGCAAUAUUACGUACGAAAAUAAAUAAAAUAUUUUCCUCUCGUACUUUUUUACCGCACAUAAGGUAAUUUUUCCGCAAUCCCAACCGAAGCUUUAGUUAUCCAAAUAAGGUCUAAAGCUGUUAGUUAUAUUGCUUGUACUAAGAUUAUUUUUUAGUUAUUUUAUAGUAAAUUGAUUUUCUCAGUAAUUUGAAAUUAGAGUCAGGUUAAAGCUCCCUCUAUUUCAAGUGGUUCAUUUAAAAUAACUUUUAAUUCUUAAAACCUGAUAAUCGAGAAUAGCUGAUUGAAUCUAAAUAUCAAAAUUAGUAGAAUAUAACAUCAUUAGUAAUUUUAUAUUCAAUAUGAUAUAUCAAUGUUAUACAAUACUAUCUAAAAGAUAAAUGUAGUAAAAAAAAAAAAAAAAAGCCUGAAAAGUCUUUAACAUAAAUUACCCAAUACCAACAAAGAGUGUACAAGCACAAAUGCCCCAAAAUUGAUACUAGAUGAUGCCGUUACACACAAAUAAAAUUAUCUCAUCAAAUGUUCUUUUGGCUAGUGUUUGGUUAGAGGUUAAGGGGUGGAAUAAUCCUUUAACCUCCAAUUUAUUUCCAAACACAUCAAAAAAUGGGUGGGAUUAGCAAAUAGCCAAUUUGGGAUGGAGUUUGCUAACCCCACCCCACUUCACUAUUCUAAUCAAACAAAAUACUAUUUUACCCACUAUUCUUCUUAUCCCACCUACUCUAACUAAAUAUUAUUUUUUUUAAUCAUGAACUAACUUCAACCCCCAAUCAAACAAAAAAAAAAACUCUAAUCUCAUUUUAAUCCUAAAAUUAAUCUUAUUUUUGAAAUAACUAGUUUUUUUUAAAAUCCGAUUCAAACAGUAGCUUGGUGUACAUAUUGAUGCGCUUAGUAUCUUACUGAGAAAACCCACCAUCACGAAAUACGGAAAACCUGUACGGUUUCUUGGAUUGGUUGGGUGGUCCAAUAAAUAUAAAGUCCUUUAGGAAGCGAAUGUUGCAACAUAGCUAUCACGUGAUACCCAGAUUCCAUUCUUUUUUGCGCCCCCUACUCGGAAAAAGAAGCCGAUCGGACGGUCGAGAUCGUUUUUCUCUUUCCCCACCUGAAGAGUCGCUCCCCUUCGUUCGUUUCCGGUUGUAAACGAACCGAAGAGUCAGGGGCAUGCUCGUCAUCUUAAGGUUAAUUGUGUUAUGAAAUAUAGUAAAAUAAAAUAAAAUAUUUUAUUAUGUUAAUUCAGCAGUAAAUUUUAUUAGAAAUUUUUUUUCGAGAGUAAUAAAUUAUAAUAAUCAUCAAAGAGGCUUCGAUGAGCUCUUACCAUUCCAGCGUGAUUAACUUUUACACAGCUAGCGGUAAUAUAAAAUUUAAAAAGAAAAAGAAAAAGAAAAAGAAAAGGUUAAGGCCCAAAAAAAAGAAAAGAAAAAGGGACACUACAUUCCCGAAAUUGCCCUUCCUCGGUGAGCACACUCGCGCCCGAGUGACGACCGAGUCGCUUGCGCGGGUUAAUAAAAUGUACACACACGCACACAAACACCGAGUCCGAGUCCGAGUCCGCAAACAUCAAGCCGGGUUUUUCAAACCCGGGAGUCGAAGCGGGCCGGUCGAGCGCGCACGCGCUCACCCGUCGUCCAAGUAGCGGAGGAGCUCGGCCUCGGCCUCGGCCUCCGCCGCGGCGGGUCGGUGGUCGUCGGCGGCGAGAAUGGCGUCGAGGGCGCGGCGGAAGAGCGGGGCGGGGCAGGGGAUCCGGAGCACCCCGCGCUGCUCGUACCCGUACUCCUGCGCCGACCUCCGCAGCAUCGCCACGAACACCGGCCGGCUCAGCAGCUCCGCCCGCACCACGAACCGCUCCAUCUCCUCCCCCACGUACACCGGCACGUGCCCCUCCGGCGCCCGCACGUGACCCCCCCGCCGCUCCUCCUUCCCCCCCGUUCCCACCACCACUCCCCUCCCCUGCCGCUGCUGCUGCUGCGACGACGACGAGUCCGCCACCCUCGACAGCCGUCGGAUCAUCUCCCUCAUCAAUCGAAUCCAACGGCCCAGGAAAAAAACAACAACAGCAGAACAAAAAAAAAAAAACGACCGGAGGAAAAUACCACUACGGUGGUGGUGAGUUGGGUGGAGGAGGAGCUUCUGCGGCGUGCGAUAUUUAUAGCGGAAUUUAGAGGAUUAUUACUAUUUUUUUUGAAAAAAAAAAAUAACACGGAAAAUGAGAAAAAAGAAAAAGGAGGAGACGGUACAAGUGGGAGUACAUGGCAGGUACGAAAUGUAAUAAAAAAAAAAAUCGAACACCAAAUCAGCGAUUCCGCUGCAAGUAACCGAACACCGUACAACCGUAUCCACCAAUAAAAUCUAGCCACGUACGACACUAUCGCCGCAGAGUGAGAGUAAAGGAGAUAAAGCGGCACGAUUCUUAGCGUAACGCUGCGUUGUGGCGCCAAUCGCGCCCGGCGCGACACGUGCCGUUUCCUUCGGCUGCUCGUAGCCAAGGAAAAGUCGUAGGUCGUAUACUGCAUUAGUAUAAUUGCACGGAGACCCCUCAACUAUACUUUUUCCUUCUUUAAUGGAAGCAACUGUAGUCUUUAACGUUAACACUUUCUUAGCUUAUGAUUUUUUUUUUUUAACAAAAAGUUUUUGUUAUUUUAAUAAUUUCAAUGGCUUAACAGUAAAUAAAGGUGUUAAAGUUGUGUGUGUCGGAAAGCGAAUAGUACUAUUAAACGUAAGUUGAGGUGCCUUUUUCGAGGCGCCCUGUAGUACGCUUUUACCUUCGUCAAUUAAAACAAACGGGUCCACCGGACCAUGUGACUCGGGCCUAUUUCGGGUCGGACAAACGGGCCCAUCCGGGCCACCGUGAAUGAGAUUGCCAUCACAUGAAGGGACCAAUUCCGACUAACCACACCCAUACAUAUCUCGGUCGUGGUCCACGUGGGCCUCAAAAUACACCCAAAUGUGACGCAUGUGAACGUGACUAGAUGCUGUUCUUUGUACUGGUGUUCUGCUGUGAGCUUAUCGCAAGCCUAUUCAAUGUUCUUAAUUUGCCGUUGUUGGGUUCCACCCACCUACUUGCGUAGUAUAUUGCCAUGAGUUUUUUGACUUUUGAGUUCUAGAAUACAAUUUAUUAAUUAAUAGAGGGUGGAUUAGAUACUGAGAAAGAAUUAAGGAGAAUUAGCCGUCCGAAUUAAGAACAGGUGAUCUGCUGUGGUAUCCUGCUCGCAUUGCAGUUCACUAGUAGCUCUAAUUAACCACUGCUUAUGUUAUUUAAAUCAGAUUCUAGAACUAAUCUUGUUGCAGUUGUGUAUAUCUAUGUAGGACCUGGAGUGGCUGUAUCUAGUAAUUAAGUAGGAAUUAUGCUAGCCAAAAAGACACUGUUCAUCAUGGAUCUUAUAGGGCCCUGCUGCUUCGCCAAUAAAUGCAGUAAUGCACUUGGCAAUGGGUGAAAGGACAUCGAAGUUCCUUAGAUAUGUUUCUAUUAGAAAUGGAUCUCCUAGUACCAUCACCCUCCUUAAAACAACGUAUCAAUAAUGAGAUUUAGCACAAUUAUCAGGUUAAUUACACCACACGUACUAAAAAACACGUACGGAUACAUAUUGUUGGCGUCAUAAAAGUUGCGCGAUGUGGUGAAUCAGGAUGCAUUAUGAGAAUAACUCCUGAAUGUAGGAAUAACUAACAUAUGGUGCGCUAGGAGCGGAGAAAAGUGUACCUAAAAUCGAAAAGCAGUUGAAUCUUAUACGGUUAGGAUCGGCAGAUUGUGACCCACAAAAUCAGAGAUGUGGCCAAUCAUGAGUAAUAACCGAAUAACAACAGACAAAAUUAUAAAAUAGAUAAGAAACGCCUGACAUAGGGAUCUUUUUUCCAUGCGAACGUGAAAAUCAUUUAUUUUUUUCUUUACAUUUUUCGCUUUUUAGGAGUAGUUUAUUUGUUAUCUCUUUUUUUUUGUUAUAUUUAGUGUUUUUUCUAUGAAUAGUUUUUAGGUUAGUAUUUCCUCUGAGAUCAUUCGCCAUAACAGCGCAUCCUUUUCUAUAAAUAUUUUCUAGUUUUAAGCACUAUAUAAGCAUUUCGGUGCUACAGUCGAACCUAAAAAUAUUGUGCAGUUUCUGGACUCGACUGAGCCAGCUGAACUGAAAAUACUGUAUAAUCUUUGAACUCGGCCGAUCCGAUCCAUCAUCCGAAUCGUUUGAUUCAAUUGCGAGCGCUAAUUUUGAGGAUCAUCAUCAGUUGCCGCUCUACCUUCCUUGCGUUCUUUCCGAAGGAGGACUUUUGACCAAGACAGUGGCCAAGAAAAUCUACUUGCAGCACAUACUUUCCAGUAAUACUACAAUUUUUUCAUCAUAUCAUUCUUAUCUAUUAUAGAUGCUGGCACUAUAAUUUGAUUGAUUCAUGCACGUGCUGUUAUCCGGCACUCUAGAAAAACGACAUAAUGUUGUACAUAAAAAAGUAUUUAUGUUUACAUUUAGUCUAUAAGGCGAAAGUCGGAUUAAUUCAAAUUAUAAUCGAGUACCACGAGUGCUUUGUCUAUACGUUUUAAUUUUAUUUGGUUGGUAUUAAUGAUCCAACAAAUAAUAUUGAAGUCAAAUUACGAAUUCGAUUCUCAAAUUUUCAUAUACUGUAAAGGUGAAGUAAAAGAUUAUUGAAGGAUUAUAGUUAAUACGAACGAUCAACAAUAUAUAUAGAGAGAGAGAGAGUCUGGCUACUAUACUAUCGAUAGUAGCAAGCUCUUGAUACUAACGAGUUUUCUGCUAUUAGAUCUACCCUUUGAUACCGACCGUCCCUAGAGCAAGUGGCAAAGGGCUUGGUGGUUGGUACCCGAGACCGAAGUUCGAAUCCUAGUUGAUUCACACAUUUCUAGCUAAGUUUAUUUCUAAAUGAAAAAAACGAAGCGGGUAGCAUGCUACCUAUCUCUCAAAAAAAAAAAGAUCUAUCCUUUGAUUAUUUUUACCCAUUAGAUUAUACUAUUGAACUAACCAUCUAUUCAACCUUAGGGGACCUCUAUUAUCCUAACCGCACAUCCUUUCAUACAAUGGUCGAAAACUCGAUAGCACCAGGCACUUGGUACUAUCAAUAGCACUAAGUCAUUGGUGCUAUUAGGUUUUUGGCCCUUGAAUGAAGAAAUGUGCAGUUAGUAUAAUAGUGAUCCUCUAGAGUUGAGUGGGUAGUUGGUUGAUUAGUAUAAUCUAACGAGUGAAAAUAAUUAAAAUGGUAGAUCUAACGACGAAAAAUAUCAAGCGCUUGAUACUAUCGAUUGGUCAUCGGAGGCCUCCGUGCUAUCGAUAGUAUACCAGUCUAGCUCUCUCUCUCUCUCUCUCUCUAUAUAUAUAUAUAUAUAUAUAGAAUUGAGUUAGAAUACUUUUAAAAGCACUAACCCCUUGGUGCUUCUAAGUUUCUAGCCCUUGGAUCUACUCCUUAAUUACUAAUACUUCUUAGAUCAAAUAUUAUUUCAUCUACCACCACCUAUCAUCACCUACCACCAUCAUCAUCUCAACCCUACACCUCUCUAUCCAAUGGUUAAAAAUUCAAAAGCACCACCUCCUUGGUGCUUUUGAGAGUAUUAAUUCUAGCUCAACUCUCUCUCUCUCUCUCUCUCUCUAUAUAUAUAUAUAUAUAUAUAUAUAUAAGAUACACCAAAUUUUCCGGUACUCUUUGGCUUCCGUAGAGCAAAUGGGUACGGUGUGUGGAUUGCAUGGAUGGGCCCCGUGGUUUGCUUUGCGUUUCGCGCCGUAUUUCCGACAAAAGGCGCAAAGCGGGAAAACACGUAAAGAGUGCGGUUAGUGUGUUUUUUUGACCCCCCAGUGCGGAAAUCCUUCCCGUCACUUUCGGCAUCGCAUGUGGUCUGGAAGGUCCCACGUCCCCCUCAAAUGACCAAAAUGCCCAUAACUAAUGCCAGCACUUUUCCUUCCUACUUUACAAUAUAUAUUAUCAUCAUUAUGUCUAAAUUACUAAAAAAUAAAAAUAAAAAGUAAAACGUAGCAUACCUAUAGAUCAUUGUAAAUCAGCUAUUUUAAAAUUUUAAGUUUUUUAUUUUCAAAUCUUUCAAUUUGUUUAAUUUGAGUCAGUCAACGAUAUUUUAAUUUUAAAAUUUAAGCUAAUUGAUUAUUUUAAUAAAUUUAUAGUUCCGAGAAUUUUAUAAAAUAUACUAAUCAAAUCUGUAAAGAAAAAAUAGCGCAUUUAAAUUUUGAAAUCAGAAUGUUGUUGAUCGACUCAAAUCAAGUAAAUUGAGGGAUUUGAUAUAUAGUAAAAUCAAAAUUUUUAAAGAUUGAAUAGCUUACUCAAAACGGUUUAUAAUUUAGACAAAUUCGAUACAUUUUUUUCAAAAAAAGGUAAUUCUUGUAUUUUUGUUUUCCAAGUACCUCCUUGUAUCAUAAACUACUGCAAUUUUAAUAUAAAAAUAUGAUGUGCUCAGAUGGAUCGCAUCUUUGAUAAUUUGCAGUACUGGUCAUAAAUGUCUGUCGUAUUAGGAGAUACCAAAUUACUUCAUCGACCAAUUACAAGUUCGAUUAGUGCAAAAACUUAUCUACAAAUAUUUUUUAAAAAACUAUUUUUUAUGUUAAUCAUCUUAAAAGGAACUUUUAUAGCGUUAUGUAUAAAAUAGUACCGUUCUUUAGUUAGACACUUUUGGUUGUGACAUUUUUUUUUAAUUGGCACUUUAGUUGUGUACUAUGAUCAUUAACUUUGUAGGACAAUAAUCUGUCAAAAAAAAAAAAAACUUUAUAGGACAAUAACACAAGCAUAAAAAUAACGGUAGGGGUAUUUCUGUAAUUUCAUCACAGAGGUAUGGGCACUCUGGUCAAUGGCGAGGAUAACGCUAUCACGAAAGAAUCCCAACCGUCCUCUUAUCCCUCGGGGAAUUAAACGGCCCAUCAUGAUUAUACUACCAUCGUGAUUACACUAGUACCCUAAUAUACAUUGAAAUAAAUUAUUUAAAAAUAUAUAUUUUUUGCUAUAAAUAUUUUCUAUUAUAAUUUCAAGUUAAGAAUUUAAAUUUUUUUUCCUCAUUGUAGCAUAUCCGGAUGUCUCUUUUUGCGCUUGAAAUUAUGCUUUUUACCUAUCAAAUAGUAUAUAUUAAAACAUCGACAACGCACUUGUGCAUCGAAAUCGAUACACAAUUUAUUGAAAAAAACCUUUCCAUACUCUUCCUUAAUCUUUCUCUCUUUAUAUUUUAGUAUUCUAUAGUUGCAAUAGUUAAGCAUCUUAUGAUCUUUAUUUUUAUUUUCUAUUAGCAUUGUUGUUACCUCCAUUAACGCCCUCAUGUGUCCCAUGCGUACUAUGGACAUAUUGAACAAAUAGCACGUUGCCCGUUUUAUUUGUUUUAUUUAAAAAUAAAUUUAGCUGGAAUAUGAAUCAAUUAGAAUUCGAAUUUGAAAUCUCGAAUAUUAAUUGCAAAUCGCCCGUUUUAUUUGUUUUAUUUAAAAAUAAAUUUAGCUGGAAUAUGAAUCAAUUAGAAUUCGAAUUUGAAAUCUCGAAUAUUAAUUGCUAAUCUUUUUAUGUCACGCAAGUACUUUGUAUAUUUUUCGGUUGGCAUAAAUUAAGGCUACUCUGGUUUGAGCUUACCAUUGUGGGGAAAAGGGGUAUUGCCGUAAUUUCACUUUCUCCGGGCGUUGUGGUUCCCACGUAAACGGAUGUAUCCGUACAGGGACGUGGAACUCCACCGGGACAAUGCGCAUGAUCUCGGCGCACGAUAGAUGCGUGACAUAAAACAAGUACCCUCCUUGUCCCCUUGUGCGCCUUUCGCGGCGCACGAUAAGCUGACUAAUUCUAAAAGUGCGCUUUAUUUCUUUUUUACAGUUGUGUGUAUUUACAUUCCAUUUACAGUUAACAAAAAA